rnacentral:misc_RNA from 1 species
GAUGAAGAACGUAGCGAAAUGCGAUACUUGGUGUGAAUUGCAGAAUCCCGUGAACCAUCGAGUCUUUGAACGCAAGUUGCGCCCGAAGCCAUCAGGUUGAGGGCACGUCUGCCUGGGCGUCACAUAUCGUUGCCCAAUGCCUAUUGCAGUGCAAUAGGAAUUUCUAGGGCGAAUGAUGGCUUCCCGUGAGCGUUGUUGCCUCGCGGUUGGUUGAAAAUCGAGUCCUUGGUAGGGUGUGCCAUGGUAGAUGGUGGUCGAGUUAGAACGAUACCGAUCAUGUGCAUGCUCCCCAAAGUAUGGCCUCUAUGACCCACACGCGUCUUUUGACGCUCAUGACGAGACCUCAGGUCAGGCGGGGCUACCCGCUGAAUUUAAGCAUAUCAAUAAGCGGAGGA